AGUUGUACAAUUAAUACCAAAUCCUUUGGUAUGACCAAAACUUUAUUAUCUUUUGGAAAACGUGAGAUAAAUGAAGAAAUAUAAACAUACUGCAUGUUUUCUAAGUCACAGACGAAAAUAUGACACAAUGAGCGAGCGGCCUACCUCCCGGUACCAGCCAAUCAGAGGCUGCCAAACAAACGUCUCGUAGGCGCAAGAAUCUACCUUAAAUGAAUCGACUAUAGUCUACUUUACCGCGGAAUGAGGGCUUACCCAAAUGGCCUGCAAUAUAAGAAUAAGUAUGCAGAUGUGCCACUUUCUGAUUUACUGGCUAAUCUCAGUAAAUCAGAACUUCAGAAUGAAUGUAAGUUGUGCCAUCAGGAAGGGAUGAAGCAGUUUCUACUCUUGAAGACCAGGAUUCACAAUGCGUAGGUCUCCAUCUAUGAAGAUCCAAUUGUAUGAACUGUCUCCUGAUGUUUUUAUUUUCAAGACUGAAGUUUUUCAACCAUAAUCAAAUUGAUACAGUUUCCUCUGAAAACUCUAGACUACGAACAACUGCUGGGACUAUUUCUAAUAAUGAUUGCUGUGGAGUUUAACAUAAUUUUUAUAAAUGAUGUUAGCUGUGGAGUUGAACAUUAAGAAUUUACAUAGUUUAGUAGCUUGUGUGUAGAAUUGUGAUUUUGACCUUACUCAAAGAAGGGUUGAAAUCAGUUUCAAAGCAUUGAGAUACUUACGCCAUUGGGCUCUUUUAUACUUGCAUUUCAUUAAAUUCAACAGAUGUGCUCCUGUACCAUUAGUAACAGAAAUAUAAAAUUCAAUCCAUGGUUAAUUUGCAACUAGGCUAUUCAUUUUGGCUUGGGACCCAAGUUUAAAAUUUCAUAUCUUAUGAGAAUGGAAAGGAUUUCUAGUAAAUUUUGCACUCUUAAGAGUUUAAAUAUGCUGAGUUAAGUUUUGUCCUGCAUUCAUCUCGCAAAAUCAAAUGUAUCUAUAGUGGUUCUCCAACUUUCAGUCUAACUGUGUGUAUCAGGUAUCAGAAGCAAAUGUCAAAUCUUCAUUUUCUAAUAAUCCAGUUAUUGUAAUUUGAAGGAGUUGCAACACAUUAAGUAAAGUCUAAAGGAGUGAGAGUUUAUGUCAACUCAGUGGUUUUGUUCAACUAUUCUUAUUGGUAAUAUUAAACAAUGAAGCCAUUGAUUUAGUUCUGUUAGUGUAUAAUUUAAAGAGGGUGGUCACUUAGCUUUAUACUUACUCUUGUUGAAAUUAUAGAUAUAUUAAUUGUAUUAAGUCUUAUAAUUCGGUUUUUUUAUUGUUUUGAAUAAACCUGUGUCCUGUAAAUGCUAGAUAUUAUAGUAUGAGGUGCAGCAUGUGAGAGGGGCCUAUGUGCAUAGUUUUGAGACAGAGGCUUGGUAAAUCAGAAGUGGCCAUUUUUUUGUCUAUAUUUUGUAUUUACUUGGUCUUCUUUGGUUAUUGAGUUGUCUGGAGAAUAAUUGACCUCAUUUUGUGGGAUUUUGUUUCUAUUAGGUGUAUGGUCAUGUAGAAUAGCAAUUCUUGUACUUGUACAAUUACAUGGGCAAGAAAGUUAUAUGUACAUGUGGAUCAUGAAUUAAGUCUUCAGCUUUACUAUGUCCUGUGUGUAUGUGGGUGAUAUGUUUCAUUUCUGUUAACUGCUUCAUGAAGCCAAGGUUAACAGUCGGAGGCCAAUCAAUUCUAUUACUACUGACCCCCUGUUUUUCUAAGGUGAAGUAGGUCAAAGUGAUUACGUUCGAGUUUUUGAGGCUGUCCAACAUGUCUCUUUUGUAUGUGAAGUCACUCUCUUAUGUCAUAACUUUCUUUUACAUAAUGCCUUUAGUUUUGUAAGUGUUGGUCUUUUUUCUUUUUUGCAUCUCUUAACUUCUGAGGGAACUUCCUAGUGGGUGCUUUAUGCAAAAAACGUGUAGCUUAUGCAGGCCUAGUUCUUAUCUCCCAAGUCUGUUGGUGGUAGACUGUGUUUGGCUUAGGCUACGGGUUUCUAUGGGUUGUUAUUAACAUUGAUGGUUGAUAGUUACUUUGUACAAAAAAACACUGUAUUGAUUUUUUAAACCAGUCAGUUAUUUUUUGAUAUUAAAACAUUGUAACGUCAGUGUUCAUGACAAAAUGUUAUGCCAUUUUUUAUUAAAAUAUUAAGCAUUUUCUUUUUGCACUUCAAUUAUCGAUAGAUUAACUUUUAUUUCUAAGAUUAUCAAGCCAGAUGAACAAUUUCCUUUUUCAUAAUGUUACCGAUUUCAGUGGUUGACUUCUGCCCUUAGGAGGUGGUGGCGGCUCUAUUAGUAGUAGUAGUAGUUGUAGUAGUAGAGGAUGGGAAUGUCCUUUGAAACGGCUGCCUCAUUAAAGUACCUCUCUGCCUCCGUUUCACUUUUCCCAAGUGAUUUGAUUUGAUUUGAUGUGCGGUCGUUGCCAUCCAAACAGGAGUCAUUUCAAUACAACUGUUUAGUCAAUUUGAUACAACCCAAGUUCUUUUAAUCAAUUAAGGAAAUCAAGUCCUGACAUCUGUUUGCUAAAGAGAAAAAAAAAAAUCACACUGGCUAAAACUGUCUUAUUUAAUUCAAACCGUUUCCAAUUUCAUUUAAAACUCUUUCCAAUUUAAUUCAAACCGUUUCCAAUUCAAGUAAAGUAAUUUUCAUCAAGAAAAUAUUAAACCUUUUCACGUUCUUUUUAGUUUUAAUUUAAGUAAUGUAAAUACUAAAAUCAUCUAAAACAACAUGAGUUUUUUUAACGUUCUUUGUCACCAAAACUGUCUUAUUUGUCGUUUAUUGAUAGGCAUUAACCAAACACUGUUGUAUACAAAAUUAAUUUCUUACAAUAUAAAGAAGUUUAAAUCAUUUAUAACAUCUAUAACUUCUACGACUAUCAGAACAAUUAAUAGUUUUACCAUUUAACUCUUAAUUUCGUGACAUUAGCUUAAUAAUAAUAUAUUAACAAUACUUUAAUUUCGCGCAUCUAAAAUUCCACGAAUGUAAUUUGCAUCGAUUUUGCGAUUUUAACUUUUCACAGAAAAGUACGGAAUACCUCGCUUAACCAUAAGGUUUCUAUAAAACACUUAUUGACGUUAAGUGUUGAAAUUCGCUCUAACACUACUAUUUAUUAACCAUCCACUUGAAAUAAUACACUGCUUUACAUUUUUUCUUUGUUCAAUGACAUAUCCAAAUGUUAAAAGUUUAUUAAAUACUGUAUCUGAAUUUAGCCUCGUGAAGGGGAAUAGAAAAAUAUUUUGCAGUCAAAGGCAAAAUACUAUAAUUUUUUUCUCCUGUUUUGGUGCGAUAAUAUGAAAACUGACAUCCAUUGAAUUGUCUCUAUGGAUGUAUUGAAAUGACACUCGUCGAAUCGAUCUACCUAGGCCCAAAAGCGAUGCCUUGUCUGUAAAUGAAAUUAAUCUACAUUAAUCACUAAUUGUGAAA